GUAAUUAGUUAUAAAAAGGGAAAAUGAUUAUAUAUUUAUUGACAUUAUACAAUACUUGAUAUUCUCGUCCAAAAAAAAAAACAUCAAUACCCCAAUAGAGUGAGAGACUCUUUAUGGCUGAAAAAAAAUAGCCGUUGCAUACUACCCUUUGUCCUUCGUCCUCUCAAAGUUGAAACCCUCAGAUCUCAAUCUUCCAUGAGUCUCUGGCGUUUCUCGCUCCCCUGACUCGGCACUGCUGCAUGAUCGCCGCACCCAAAAUAGAGGUGUUUUACCUCAUAUAAAAGAUCAUAUUUUGAUUGGCUGCACCUCUAUUGAAGAUAAGCUUGGAAUAAAGAUAUGGGUGCUCACUGGGGACACAAUGGAAGCAGCCUAUGGUUGGAUUUUCCCUUGCUUUUGUAGUCCAUGAAUCUGCUAAUCCACAUAUUGCUGUAUUGGGUCGUCUUUCUGGUACAACAAUUUAUAGGAAGGUUCAACAAUAUCCAGUAGCAUAUCCAUACCAUGGAGUAGUGCUUGUUCGUGUUGAUGCGCCAAUAUAUUUUGCAAACACUAGUUACAUUAAAGGCUGCGCGAAUAUGAAUCCAAUCCUGAUCAAUCUAUACGGCGUGGGCCAGAAGUCGAACAAAUUUAUAUUGGAAAAUUCAUUUUGAGCUUUCACGUGAUCUUUAGAUUUACAAGUUUCAAGGAGUACCUGCUCGUAUAGAGACUUUAAUAGAAUAAAGAUAUGGGUGCUCACUGGGGACACAAUGGAAGCAGACAUCAAUAUUGUGUAUGGUAAGUUUAAUUUCUGACGUACUUUUCGAAUGGUUAAUUGAUAUCUAUAUCUAAAGUCUUGCAUCUUGUAUGUGUUGCAGCAUGCAUACAUGAAACAGUUCAUUGUCAGUUCUGAAAAAGAUCAAAUGAAAGAAGUUCUAUUAAUUUUUUUUAUCCUCAUUAGAUUUUUUUCUUUACACCUCCUGUUUCUUGUUCUUUAUGUGUCCUCUUAUUUUACUUCUUUCUCUUUGCACCUAUCAAUUAACCCUUAAUGGUGUUUUAAAUUUCCUAUCUUGCUUGUUGCUCCUUCUUCGAAUGUUGCUGCUUUGUCUCUAGAGGAGAAAAGUGUCUUUCUUGCAUAUUUGUAUUGUAAAGAAGAUUUUAGAGUUCAGAAUACUUUUAGGAACAUGCAGUUCAUGGUUAAUCUGCUGCAUUCUUUUGCAAGUUAGGAUUUUUAUGAGACUUGGUUUUAAUGCAAGCUAAAAACUACUAAAAUAGUUUGUCAUAUAGUAAAGACGUGUGUUUAUUUAUUGGGGAAGUGGUGAGUAGAUGGGUUGGAAAAGAGCAUAAUUUUCCUGUGGAAAUUGGAAAUAUACUAGGGACUGGGUGAGGUCAAGGCUGGUGUGGAGCGUAGGUCUAUUGCAUUUGUGCCUUUAUAGUACAUGAAAUACAUUGUUAAACUACCUUAGAUUUUGUUCUUUUUAUUUUUAUUAUUAUAUAAUUAUUUGUAUGUUGUUGCUGUUAUUUAGUGCUGUAAAUUUUGAAGUAGCUGGAUUAGUUCUCUAUGUUUGUGUCAUUAAUGUAUGCUUGGGUUUCCUUGUUUGUUUUAAUAGAAGGUACAAGGAUAUAUGUACUUUUGAAUUUUUCAAGCUGAUAGUUUGAGCUACACUAAUACUUAGCAAUUAGCAUCAUUUGACCAAGCGCCAAGUGAAGCUUUUUCUGGCCACCAAGUCGAUUAAGAAGCAAAGUAUUGGUUACAUACAUUGCUUCAUUCGUGCUUAUUGAGUAACUAGUCCCAACAACCUAACUCGUUGCUCAACCUUAUCGUGGAAAGGCUGUGAUUGUGCGCUGUGAUUGUGCGACAUACGCUAGAUUCUGCUUUACUUGCCAUUCUAUAAAUAUGCAUUGGUUGUAUCGCUAUUAUGGCCAUGAGUAGGCUGUUGAUAAUACCUUUGCAUGCCUUCUUAUAUUGGUGUCCUAUAUGAUAGGGCUCAUUCAAAUAUUACACAAGGAAACCUGUGUAUAUCAUCAGUAUAUGAAGACUGUUACAGCCUAUAGGAAUACUUAAGCUAAAGAUUGAUACAUUUACAAUAGGUUGAAGACUUAGGUUGAAGAUUGUUACAGCCUAUAUAUUUUUACGUUUUUUUUUGGUGGUGUAUGAUUUGUGAGUUGUAGUAAGAGAAAAGGAAAUAGAGACAUAUCCUUACUCUUGGGCUACUUCACUUAUGAGAUGGCCUUAUGGCAUAUAUAUGAUGGGAAAUCAAGUAUUAGCUUUGAGUAAGCUGUGUUACAAUCUUAUUGGACUAUUUAUCUAGUAGAAACAUAACUUUUAUGCAUUAGAGAGUUGAGAAGUGUGCUUGUAGAGAUCUUGUCUGGUCAUUCAGAGAUUUUCUUGUUAUCCUUAAGAAGCCAUCAAACUUAGCCACCUCAAAGAUUAGCAUCAAGUUUUGGACAUGCUUUCGUUAUUUUCUAUCACUUGUCAAAGUGUUUGCAAGACUUUUUUUUUAUGGGAUAUGCACCUCUAUAGUUGUGAUGAAUUCAUCAUGGUUCAACCAUUCAAGUGCAUGGCAACAGAUCCUUUUUCUUCCCCUGAUAUUUCUACUUCAAUCUGAUGUUGCUCUUUUUUAAGAACGAGGAAAAGAGAGGCUUCUUAGUAAUGUGUUUGGAUAAAAGAAGGGAAGGGACAGUGAUCAAUCAAUUUCCUUUAUUUUGAUGGAUGAAGAGAUUUUCUAUAAACAAAAGGAUCCAAAUAGCAAACCAAAAUCCUUAAAAAAUUGUUAUAAUUGUUAGGGAAAACACAAACCCCUUCUCCCUUCUCCUUCCUUCACCUACCUUUUGUUUCCUUAGCCUCCCUUGAGUCCCUUCCCCUAGCAUUGCUCUUUAAGCACACCAUAAUCUACUAUCAGCACGUGUCUUUCGCUUUUGGGUUAUCUGAAAUAUACUCAUCUAGUAAAAGUGGAAUAAACAUAAUUGAUGUGCAAGAAUGAAACUAGUUCAAAGAUAAAUGUGAUGCCAUUGAUAACUUAUCUACCUCACUUUCUGUUUGGCAGCAGAUUUAUAUUUGUUUGUCUAUUUGUCUUAUUGCAGACUGUAUCUUCCUUCAGUUAGCUAUUGAGAACUUUUUCAGUUUGGUGGUACCACAUUGGAAAGGUGAAGGAUUAGGCCAAAGCGACGAGUGAAUAAAAAGAGGAAUUGGAAACUCCUUUGGGCCAUCAGGACUGAGAAGUGGUGGAAAAUCAGAUUUCAACGGUCCUGUUGAUAGCAAGACUAAAAUCAUACGUUUUGAAUGCCAGGACCCCACUAGCACAAAUUAUGACGUACACUUUGGGAAGAUGUUAGGCGGGCAUCGCUCCUCAAGUGCAAUGGAUGCCACCUACCUAGGCCAUGAGCCUUUAUGGUCGUCCAUCGACCCCGUCCAGGAACAAAAUCAUCUACAACAUCUUUGAACUCGGAAUUGUGAGACUAUAGCAUAAGGUUGUCUCUUCGGAGACAUUUGAUAAAAUUGGAACGAUACAGAGAAGAUUAGCAUGGCCCCUGUGCAAGGAUGACACGCACAAAUCGAGAAAUGGUCCAAUUUUUUUUGCCUUUUUUACCACUUACUGCAGGAUAUCUAUGAAAAACUUACCAUCUGGAACGACAUAUAGUUACCACAACUUGCUAUUGCACUGAGAGAUACGAAGUGUUUCCCAGUAUUUUUGGUUUCGGUGAUUUGACAUACAUAUAGAGAUAUUUGUAAGUAACUCCAUAGCUUUUAUAUAGUGCUAUUGUUUUUCUCUUUUUUA